UGGCUGUGGUGGAAGCUGGCAGCUGCAGCUCCAAUUCGACCCCUAGCCUGGGAUCCUCCAUAUGCCGUGGGUGUGGCCCUAAAAAGAAAAAAAACCCCACAGAUUUCCUCUGUUCUUUGUCUACAGUACACCCCACUCACCUGAACAGGAGGUGCAAAGAUCCCUCCACCCCAAAGGAAGGGGGCUCAAGCGAUCCAAUCCUCUCCAGAGCUCUUGGCCAGGACGCCUCCCUGGCUCCAUCGACAAGGCUGGGUUAUCUUCUUGAGCGAAGGCCGAGCCGCUACAGGUGACCAGUUCAAAAAACUGUUCCUCUGGAGAAACUGUUCCGCAUCUUUUAGACACGCCUCAACCCCACACGAGUGGCCGCCAAGAGGGAGACAGACGUGAGAGUGGGAGCCGUCGCCCUG
rnacentral:lncRNA from 1 species